GUCCCACCUGACCCCAUGCCGAACUCAGAAGUGAAUCGCCGUAGCGCCGAUGGUAGUGUGGGGUCUCCCCAUGCGAGAGUAGGGAACUGCCAGGC
rnacentral:rRNA from 1 species